UAUGUCCGAUUCUCAAUAGGCGGCAGAACAAAUUUUCCGUGUAGCUGCCAUCGAUUAUUGUUGAUAAAAGUUCUGGUUCACUCGAACCAAAUUAAAUCGUGUUAGUUAUUUUUUAUCAAUUUGUUUUUCGUUUCUUGUACCGCUAGAAAAGCCGGAGUUUGUUCCGGUUUGCGUGAAAAUAGCGAUUGCGCAGUUCAACGUAUUCUAUUUACUUCAUACUCAUUGUAUCUAUCGGAAAUGAAAUUGGUCGAUUUCGUAUUCUUCGAGGAUGCGGCUUCCGGAUACCCAGCUGAAAGACAAAGGCAAUCAAAUGGAGUUCUCCAUGAAGGUAGCUCAUAUUGUUCGCCGGUUUUAU